AUAGCUUAAUGGUAAAGCACUCAACCAGCAAUUGGGGGAUCUGGGUUCAAGUCCUGGU
rnacentral:tRNA from 1 species